AGCAAACUGUUGGGUGUUCGUCAUAACGAUUGGAUGCGAGGUGUUGGGCUCCGCUAGUGGUGGCGAACGGUCUUCCCGAUGGAAAGACUGCCUGGUGGAGCCAGUGGAGAGUUGUGCUCCAUUCUUAUCAUGAUCAAUGGCAAAAUGAUUGUUCAUGCUGCCUCCCUUCCUGACGCGUCAAUCUGUUGCAGCUAAUCUCCUGGAGUGCCUGACGUCGAUGAAGAGCACUUGCAAAAGAUGUCCACAC
rnacentral:lncRNA from 1 species